rnacentral:rRNA from 1 species
UUCGGGGUUUGGGAUCCUGCCGGAGGUCACUGCUAUUGGGAUUCGACUAAGCCAUGCGAGUUGAGAGGGUUCGGCCCUCGGCUAACGGCUCAGUAACACGUGGAUAAUCUGCCCUUAGGUGGAGGAUACCCUCGGGAAACUGAGAAUAAUACUCCAUAGGUCUAGGAUGCUGGAAUGCACUUAGACUAAAAACUCCGGUGCCUAAGGAUGAGUCUGCGGACUAUCAGGUAGUAGUCAGGGUAAAGACCUGACUAGCCUACGACGGAUACGGGUUGUGAGAGCAAUAACCCGGAGAUGAUAUCUGAGACACGAUAUCAGGCCCUACGGGGCGCAGCAGGCGCGAAAACUUCACAAUGCGCGAAAGCGCGAUGAGGGAAUCCCAAGUGCUUGCACGUAAGUGUAAGCUGUCUCUAUGUUUAAAACGCAUAGAGAGUAAGGGCUGGGUAAGACGGGUGCCAGCCGCCGCGGUAAUACCUGCAGCUCGAGUGGUGGCCGCUAUUACUGGGCCUAAAACGUCCGUAGCCGGUUUAAUAAAUGCCUGGGUAAAUUGUAUAGCUUAACUAUACGAAUUCCGGGUAGACUGCUAGACUUGAGACCGGGGGAAGUUAGGGGUACUCCUGGGGUAGAGGUGAAAUUCUGUAAUCCUAGGGGGACCACCGGUGGCGAAGGCGUCUGACUAAAACGGGUCUGACGGUGAGGGACGAAGCCCUGGGGCGCAAACGGGAUUAGAUACCCCGGUAGUCCAGGGUGUAAACGCUGCUUGCUUGAUGUUAGUCGGGCUUCGAGCCCGAUUAGUGUCGGAGAGAAGUUGUUAAGCAAGCUGCCUGGGAAGUACGGCCGCAAGACUGAAACUUAAAGGAAUUGGCGGGGGAGCACAGCAACGGGUGGAGCGUGCGGUUUAAUUGGAUUCAACGCCGGG